rnacentral:rRNA from 1 species
AUUGAACGCUGGCGGCAGGCCUAACACAUGCAAGUCGAGCGGAGCGGCGGACGGGUGAGUAAUGCCUAGGAAUCUGCCUGGUAGUGGGGGAUAACGUCCGGAAACGGGCGCUAAUACCGCAUACUAUCAGAUGAGCCUAGGUCGGAUUAGCUAGUUGGUGGUGUAACGGCCUACCAAGGCGACGAUCCGUAACUGGUCUGAGAGGAUGAUCAGUCACACUGGAACGGAUACACGGUCCAGACUCCUACGGGCGGCAGCAGUAGGGAAUAUGGGACAAUGGGCGAGAGCCUGAUCCAGCCAUGCCGCGUGUGUGAAGAAGGUCUUCGGAUUGUAAAGCACUUUAAGUUGGGAGGCGUUACCAACUGAGUAAGCACCGGCUAACUUCGAGACAGCAGCCGCGGUAAUUC